rnacentral:rRNA from 1 species
AAAGGUACUCAAGGGCACACAAUGGAUGCCUAGACGUAUAUUACCGAUGAAGGACGUGGAAGACUGCGAUAAGCUUCGGGUAGCUGUCAACAAGCUUUGAUCCGGAGAUUUCCGAAUGGGGAAACCCAGCACGAGUCAUGUCGUGUUGCUCUCAACUGAAUACAUAGGUUGUGUAGUGGGAACCACCUGAACUGAAACAUCUUAGUAGGGUGAGGAAGAGAAAAUAAAUAAUGAUUCUGGGAGUAGUGGCGAGCGAAACUGGAAGAGCCCAAACCUUUUAAGUUUCUACUUUGUAGAUAAGCUGAUAGGCGAAUACUUAAUAAGGGGUUGUGAAAUUACAUAAGACCAAGUCAGAAUGCUUAACUUUGUUGAGUAGUCUGACUUGCGAUAAAAGGCUAUCAACUUUUAGUAAGGUAAGAAAUUUGCGUGGUUAGCAGAAUAGUUUGAAUGACUAGCCAAAGAGCGUGAAAGCCGUGUACGCGAAAACGACGCAGACCUUAUAUAUGUUUUUUCGAGUAGGACGGGGCACGAGAAACCCUGUUUGAAUCCGGCUGGACCACCAGCCAAGGCUAAAUAUAAUAUACGAUCGAUAGUGAACUAGUACAGCGAUGGAAAGGUGAAAAGAACCCCGGGAGGGGAGUGAAAUAGAACCUGAAAUUGUGUGCCUACAAGGAGUCGGAGCAGUAUUUAUACUGUGACGGCGUGCUUUUUGUAGAACGAUCCAGCGAGUUAAUUUCAUGCGCCAGGUUAAGUCAAGUGACGGAGCCACAGUGAAAGCGAGCCUGAAUAGGGCGAUAAGUGUAUGGGAUUAGACCCGAAACCGGGUGACCUAACCAUGAGCAGGUUGAAGCUGCGGUAACACGCAGUGAAGGACCGAACCAGUUUGCGCAGUAAAGCAUUUGGAUGACUUGUGGUUAGCGGUGAAAUGCCAAUCGAACUCGGAGAUAGCUGGUUCUCCUCGAAAUAGCUUUAGGGCUAGCGUCAUGUAAUAUAGCCAACGGGGGUAGAGCUCUGUAAACGACUGGGGCGGGCAACUGUACCCACCGUUAACAAACUACGAAUACCGUUGGUGGUACCAUGGCAGUUAGAACAUCGGGGCUAAGCUCGGUGCUCAAAAGGGAAACAGCCCAGACCAUCAUCUAAGGUCCCUAAAUUAACACUAAGUGGGAAACAAGGUGAAAUUUCUUAAACAGCGAGGAUGUUGGCUUAGAAGCAGCCAUUCAUUUAAAGAGUGCGUAACAGCUCACUCGUCAAGAGAUUUUGCGUGGAAAAUGUAACGGGGCUAAAGUGUUAUACCGAAGAUAUGGAUUUCGUUAUUCCUACGGGUUUAACGGAGUGGUAGAGGAGCGUUCCUAUCGGCGGUGAAGCUCAAUCGUAAGGUUGGGUGGAGCGUUAGGAAGUGAGAAUGCUGGAAUGAGUAACCAUAAGAAAGGUGAGAAUCCUUUCGGCCGUAAGAGCGAGGUUUCCAGGGCUACUGUAAUAAUCCCUGGGUUAGUCGGGCCUAAGCCGAGGCGUAGCAGCGUAGGCGAUGGACAUCAGGUUAAUAUUCCUGAACCGGUUAUAAUUUGUAUACUGUGUACGGUAAAUUAGUCGAAGCGGAUUAUUGGUAUAUAUCCGUCCAACUUAGCGGGAACGCAAAAGGAGUGAAAGUUAAUCUACGGAUUAACGAUUUUGAUGAAAGUACUGGCUAGAAAAGCAGAUAUACGUGUGGUUAUAGCCGCCCGUACCGCAAACCAACACAGGUGCUCGAGUCGAGUAGACUCAGGCUUACGAGAGACCCUUCGCUAAGGAACUCGGCAAAACAGCGACCGUAACUUCGGGAUAAGGUCUGCCUCCGCAUCAUUCGAUGCGAGUCGUGUUUCAAGCAAUUAGGUUAAGAUUAAUGGUAUAUAUGAGUAUCUUAAACUUCUUUACCGAGAUAGAACAAGUCAAAUGGCUUAGCUUGGAACGUGGCAAACUCGUAUCAAACGAUGCGGAGGCCGCAGCAAAAGAGCCCACGGAACUGUUUACCAAAAACACAGGUCUCUGCGAACACGAAAGUGGAUGUAUAGGGGCUGACUCCUGCCCAGUGCUGGAAGGUUAAGGGGAGUGCUUUACGGUGCGAACUGAAGCCCCAGUGAACGGCGGCGGUAACUAUAACCGUCCUAAGGUAGCGAAAUUCCUUGUCAGGUAAGUUCUGACCCGCACGAAUGGAGUAAUCAUGUGGGCACUGUCUCGGCGAAGGACUCGGUGAAAGUGCAUUGGCGGUAAAGAUGCCGUCUGUCCAUGCCAGGACGAGAAGACCCCAUGGAGCUUUACUACAGCUUUACAUUGACACGGGUUACAUCAUGUGUAGCAUAGGUGGGAGGCUUUGAAACAGAUACGCCAGUAUUUGCGGAGCCACAGGUGAAAUACCACCCUUGAUGUAGUCUUUGUCUUACCAUUGCCGUUAUCCGGUAAUGGGACCGUGUAUGGUGGGUAGUUUAACUGGGGCGGUUGCCUCCUAAAGAGUAGCGGAGGCGUUCAAAGGUUGGCUAGCUUCGGAUGGAAAUCGAAGUGAUAGUGCAUGCGCAAAAGCCAGCUUGACUGCGAGAAUUACAAUUCGACCAGAGUGGAAACACGGAGCAAGUGACCCGCUGUAAGAACAUUGUUCAUUGAAUGUGGGAUCGACAGCGCACACGGAUAAAAGUUACCCUGGGGAUAACAGGCUUAUCGCGCCCAAUAGUUCACAUAGACGGCGCGGUUUGGCACCUCGAUGUCGGCUCAUCACAUCCUGGAGGGGGAGCACCUUCCAAGGGUUCGGCUGUUCGCCGAUUAAAGUGGUACGCGAGCUGGGUUCAGAACGUCGUGAGACAGUUCGGUUUAUAUCCGGCAUGGACGUAAGGAUUCUUGAGGAGAUUUGUCUCUAGUACGAGAGGACCGAGAUGAACGAACCUCUGGUGUAUCGAUUGUGGCCACCUGCCGCAGUGUCGAGUAGCUAUGUUCGGUUAAGAUAAGCGCUGAAAGCAUAUUAAGCGCGAAACUGACUCCAAGAUUAGGAAUCCCAUGAGGACACAGAAAGAUGAUCUGUUUGAUAGGCGCAAGGUGUAAACCUGGUAACAGGCUAGCCAAAGCGUACUAAUAGUCCAAUCGCCUUUUUAU